GUGCCAGCAGCCGCGGUAAUACCGGCAGCCCGAGUGAUGACCGAUCUUAUUGGGCCUAAAGCGUCCGUAGCUGGCUACGCAAGUCCGUCGGGAAAUCCACUCGCCCAAUGAGUGGGCGUCCGACAGAAACUGCAUAGCUUGGGACCGGAAGGCUCGAAGGGUACGUGCGGGGUAGGAGUGAAAUCCCAUAAUCCCGCACGGACCACCGAUGGCGAAAGCAUUUCGAGAAAACGGAUCCGACAGUGAGGGACGAAAGCCAGGGUCUCCAAUCGGAUUAGAAACCCCGGUAGUUC
rnacentral:rRNA from 1 species